CACGUAGGGCGCAAGCGUUGUCCGGAAUUAUUGGGCGUAAAGAGCUCGUAGGCGGUCUGUUACGUCUGCUGUGAAAACCCGGGGCUUAACCCUGGGCUUGCAGUGGAUACGGGCAGACUAGAGGCAGGUAGGGGAGAAUGGAAUUCCCGGUGUAGCGGUGAAAUGCGCAGAUAUCGGGAGGAACACCGGUGGCGAAGGCGGUUCUCUGGGACGUGACUGACGCUGAGACGCGAAAGCGUGGGGAGCGAACAGG
rnacentral:rRNA from 1 species